GUCUCACUCUGUAGCCCAGGCUGGAGCGCGAUCUCAGCUCACAGCUCACUGCAGCUUUGCCUCCCAGGUUCAAACGAUUCUCCUGCUUCAGCCUCUCGAGUAGCUGGGAUGACAGGCAUGAGCCAUUGCACCAGACCGACUUGUCUCAAAAAAAAAAAAAAAAAAAAAAAGGAUCUAGGCUUCCUUAUUACUAUCUGAAGAAAUAAUUACGUUUGCUUCUUUCCAAAUUUGGCAGUAACUAAACUUAAACAUUUUUUUUUUUUUGAGACAGAGUCUUGCUCUGUCGCCCAGGCUGGAGUGCAGUGGCUGGAUCUCACCUCACUGCAAGCUCUGCUUCCCGGGUUCCCGCCAUUCGCCUGCCACAGCCUCCUGAGUAGCUGGGACUACAGGCGCCGGCCACCUCACCCGGUAAUUUUUUGUAUUUUUUAGUAGAGACAGGGUUUCACUGUGUUAGCCAGGAUGGUCUUGAUCUCCUAACCUCACGAUCCGCCCAUCUCGGCCUCCCAGAGUGCUGGGAUUACAGGAAUGAGCCACCGCACCCGGCCAACAAAAAUCUUUUGAAGCACAUUUGCUUUUGCAGUUAGCCUGUUGGUCUCCAGAGUUCCUGUACUGCUGUGCCCAUGAUGGCCGCCAAAGCUGCACCCAUGGUGACUCUUCCUGCUGAAGCAAAGCCCCGCAGGACAAUAAGGGUCAGGAAUCUGGGAGCGGCUCGACUGGACCGUUUAGUCUCUUGGACUGGACGAGCUUGCAGUCCAGCUGAUUGAUGGCCAGGGCUGUGGUCGUCUGAAGCUUGACUGGUGCUGGAGGACCUGCAUCGCGUCCAGGGUGGAGAACUCAUGCAGCUGCUGCCAGGAGGCCUCAGCUCCUCGUCACGUGGGCCCUUCCCUAGAGCCAGUGACCAGAGGGCAGGAGCCACAGCCUUUUCUAUCCUCAACUCAGAAUUGACCGUCACCUCUGCCAAAUUGGUCGCCAAAACCCACCCUUGGACAAUGUGGGAGGGACUGGCUGGGGUGUGAGUAUCCGGUGACGGGGUCAUGGAGGGCCAGCUGGGCUGCUGAGCAUAUUGAUGAUUGUAUUGAGAUCUGCUCAGCAAGACGUAUCCAGGCAGCUCCUUAUGGCUCCUGACCAUGUGGACCAGGCCCAGGCCCAGCCUUCACAGCCACACUGAUCAACUCAGGAACAGAAAGUCAAACCUGUUAAGUCCGUCCUCUCGAUUUGUAUUUGGAGAAGAGACUUUGCCUUUCGGGUCCCAGAGCUAGAAGGGUGAACUGUGAAGAGAGCUGUUAGCAUCUUUCCACCUGGCGAGGAAGCCAGCCACGGCUGAAGAGGACCAGGCCCACAGAGUGGAAAAGAAGGCAGGAGAUGAGCGUCCCAGAGCCAGGCCUGUGUCCCUAGAUCCAGUCCCUCGAAGGGGCUCCCUUUCAUUUCCUCGUCAUGAGCCAAUCCCCUUUUUACUAUGUUGCCUGUCUAAGUCCAUUAGCUACUGGGCUGCUCACACUGGCCAGAGGCCUGGGGACCUUCCUGAACAUCCCUGGCAAGGCUUCAGAAGCCUCAUAUGGGUCCAGCUACUAGGAAAGAAGGAUCAUCUCUGGGCAUCAAUUUAUAGCCUAUUCCUAAAAGUAACUAGUUUGAGGUGUCUCUGGUCCCAGGGAGAAUUCCUUAGGGGAAUGAGACGCUAUUUGAAGCGAGAAAAGGUUUGCUAGUCUGUG